AACGAACGCUGGCGGCAUGCCUAACACAUGCAAGUCGAACGAGACCUUCGGGUCUAGUGGCGCACGGGUGCGUAACGCGUGGGAACCUGCCCUUAGGUUCGGAAUAACUCCCCGAAAGGGGUGCUAAUACCGGAUAAUGUCUUCGGACCAAAGAUUUAUCGCCUUUGGAUGGGCCCGCGUUGGAUUAGCUAGUUGGUAGGGUAAAAGCCUACCAAGGCGACGAUCCAUAGCUGGUCUGAGAGGAUGAUCAGCCACACUGUGACUGAGACACGGCCCAGACUCCUACGGGAGGCAGCAGUGGGGAAUAUUGGACAAUGGGCGAAAGCCUGAUCCAGCAAUGCCGCGUGAGUGAUGAAGGCCUUAGGGUUGUAAAGCUCUUUUACCCGGGAUGAUAAUGACAGUACCGGGAGAAUAAGCUCCGGCUAACUCCGUG
rnacentral:rRNA from 1 species